UGGUUACGUUCGAUGCUGUCUGUUCAGUGUACUGGCGACGAACAAUAUGGAGAUAUGGGACUGACGUAUGUGUGUGUUCAGAUUCAAUCGUUUGGAUACGUUCUUGGCUCGGGUACCUCUUAGAUUUACGUCUUUAUUAUCUUUAUAGGUGCUGGCAGAGUCAUGGAAUGAAGGUCACGAUUACUACGCCUGGCCUGUAAGCCAUUUGUUGGCACUUCAGCUGCGCUGGAGCUACGAUCACAUUUUAGUGAAAUAUGGGUGCAGUGACCAUUUUGCCACGGGCAGCAUGUUUAUGAUAGUUGCAUCUUUUAAAACAGUGCGUGCUUCCAGGCUCAUGGAAUGGAGGUGACGAAUACAACGCCUGUCCUGUGGGUCAUUUGUUGGCACUUCGGCUUAGCUAAAAAUAAAUUGCAGUUCUGCAGUAAACAAGCUGCAUGCAACAUUUUUACAUAAAGGCAUUUAUAGUGAUAUCACACAUUGUCUUUUCUAUUUUCAGUGUACCUCGGAAACGUUCCUUCCUGCUACCCACAGCCGUCUACCACCCCACACGUGUGUAAAGUACUGGUUGCAUUUGGAGCACUCAAGCACGGACCCAGAGACAGAGGCAAUACUUGCAGCUACCGGUGAUAUAAGUGCUGCGAUUUGUAUACAUGUACACUACUAUCUGCUUUGGAAGAGUACCAAGAUUUGCUGGUAUGUGACUGUGCAAUAAGGGGAAGUGCUCACAAUGUCUGCUGACUUGUCGACAUGUUUGGAAGUCAGUGUUUGCCCGGUAUGUUCAUAGAA